GUGGGGAAUCUUGCGCAAUGGGCGAAAGCCUGACGCAGCAACGCCGCGUGCGGGAUGAAGGCCUUCGUGGUUGUAAACCGCUUUCAGUAGGGACGAAAAUGACGGUACCUGCAGAAGAAGCUCCGGCUAACUACGUGCCAGCAGCCGCGGUAAUACGUAGGGGGCGAGCGUUGUCCGGAUUCAUUGGGCGUAAAGAGCUCGUAGGCGGUUCAGUAAGUCAGGUGUGAAAGCUCCGAGCUCAACUCGGAGACGCCAUCUGAUACUGCUGUGACUAGAAUCCAGUAGGGGAGUGUGGAACUCCUGGUGUAGCGGUGGAAUGCGCAGAUAUCAGGAAGAACACCAGCGGCGAAGGCGGCACUCUGGGCUGGUAUUGACGCUGAGGAGCGAAAGUGUGGGUAGCAAACAGGAUUAGAAACCCUAGUAGUCC
rnacentral:rRNA from 1 species